UCGAACGGCAGCACGGGGGCAACCCUGGUGGCGAGUGGCGAACGGGUGAGUAAUACAUCGGAACGUGCCCAGUAGUGGGGGAUAGCCCGGCGAAAGCCGGAUUAAUACCGCAUACGACCUACGGGUGAAAGCGGGGGACCGCAAGGCCUCGCGCUAUUGGAGCGGCCGAUGUCAGAUUAGGUUGUUGGUGGGGUAAAGGCCUACCAAGCCGACGAUCUGUAGCUGGUCUGAGAGGACGACCAGCCACACUGGGACUGAGACACGGCCCAGACUCCUACGGGAGGCAGCAGUGGGGAAUUUUGGACAAUGGGGGCAACCCUGAUCCAGCCAUGCCGCGUGCGGGAAGAAGGCCUUCGGGUUGUAAACCGCUUUUGUCAGGGAAGAAAUCUUUUGGGCUAAUACCCCGGAGGGAUGACGGUACCUGAAGAAUAAGCACCGGCUAACUACGUGCCAGCAGCCGCGGUAAUACGUAGGGUGCAAGCGUUAAUCGGAAUUACUGGGCGUAAAGCGUGCGCAGGCGGUUGUGCAAGACAGAUGUGAAAUCCCCGGGCUUAACCUGGGAACUGCAUUUGUGACUGCACAGCUGGAGUGCGGCAGAGGGGGAUGGAAUUCCGCGUGUAGCAGUGAAAUGCGUAGAUUUGCGGAGGAACACCGAUGGCGAAGGCAAUCCCCUGGGCCUGCACUGACGCUCAUGCACGAAAGCGUGGGGAAGCAAACAGGAUUAGAUACC
rnacentral:rRNA from 1 species